AUUACAUUAAAUUCUCCUUCAUUUUGUGUAAACGCAUGACAAAAAAUCUUUAAAAGCACUUCCAUUAUAUUUAUGCUCACUAAGCAGUGCGCCACGAUUGUUUAACUACAGUUUCAAUGUUUCCAUAAAUGCAGCAUUGCUGACCCAGUAGAAACCCAGUAUUACUGAGUUCUUUUUCAAUUACCUGAGCAUCCCCUGGGUCCAAGAGGAUGAAUAAGUUUUCAAGGAUUGCUGACUCUCCUAUCCUAAUAGGAAAGGUUAUUUCUACUCUUUCUACCAGGUGAAUUUAUUUUUAUUGGUGUUUGUUUAGUAACUUCAGACAUUUUAUGAAGUCAGUGACUAAAACCUUUCUUAAAACUUUAAACAUUGGAAAGAUAGCCAUUAGUUUCCUACUAAUAUGCAUUUCAACUCUUUAUAUGCAAAAUUAAGAUCAUCAUAAUUUAAUUUUUUUGUUUUAUCCAAAUGAUGGUUUUGUUUUCUGUCUCCAACAGUGAGAGUAGUAGUUUACUUGCUCCACUAAGAAUACACAAAGAGCAAAUAAGUUGAAAUUCCAGCAUGUGAGAUUUAAAUAAGUAAUUAAAUAUGAUUUUUUAAAAUAGAAAUUUUAAAAUAAUGGACCUUUUUGUGAUUAAUUUGAGAUCCUGUGGGCUAUAUAGUUGACAUAUUUACUCUGAGUUGUAGGUAUUUCAUCGGCUUUUGCAUGAAGGAGAAUGGACAAGAUGCUUCUGAAAGUUGGCCAGCAUUCUGCUAUGGAGAGCUGCCUUUACAAGAGAAGAAAUAUCAGGAAUGGUGCCCCUAAGUUAACUGUUCUGCCUACGGAUAAAGUGCAAACAUCUCUACACACACUGUUUUCUCCUGCAAGGAAAACUCUGAGGACCAGAGUAUAAGAUGGCCACCACCACACCAGCUCCUAUUUCGUUCUUCCAACACAGAAGGCAGUUUUGAUUGGACUCCCUGGAGAACCGAACCUGAGGCAGAGACGUGCAUGCAAAAAGUCCAGGGGAUAUUGACUGGAAUAAUGAGGGAAGGAAGCAGGCUUCAGGGGAGUGAAGAGACUGCAUUGCACUUCCAGCAAUGGUGUUGGCAUAUCCCACAGGGAAUCUCACGUUGGUUGGCCCAUCAGAAUCAAAGUGGGGCAUGAGGCUGGGCCCGCACUCUCACUUCUGACAGGCAUCCGAUGUGUGCGCAUGACUUGGAUAAGUUGCUCCCUGAAGGAGAUUGAUUUGUGAGGGACCAAGAGCCUACAACUCUGGAAAUGCUGUCCUUAGUGCCUUGUUCUCUAAGGUGUGUUCACCAUGAUGCUUUGCAGCCAAGGCGGCCCUUGUCAGAGCCAGCAGCGUCCCUCCAAAACUGUGAGUUCAAUUAUCCUCUUUCUUUACAAACUACCGAGCCUCAGAACCUCAGUCUGCCUUGGAAAAUCUGCACAUUCAUGAGUCAUACACAAGUCUCCAGUGGAAUGUUGAGAUCCCUGUCUCCUGUCCUGAAAAGACUGCGAUCAGUUUACUUUUCUGGUCCAAUAGGUCUGGAGUAGCAAGUGGAAAUUAGUUCUUUUCAAGGGACUACUACUACAGAACUACUGAUAGGCAUUUAAAUGAAUAAAAAGAAACUUUGGUCCAGAAACGGCAGUGACUAAGAAAACACUGGUAAUAUAGCUUUUCUAAAUACUAUGCUUCACAAAAAUGUAUCAAGCAGCAAAAUAAGAAAUGUUAAGAAAAAUGACUUACGCAUUUACUUUGUAAAUUUAUCUUGCUCAGAAGCAUAUAUCUGAAUCAGAUACUAUGCCACCAGAGCAGAGGCCCUGAAUGUAAAUGGGUGCCAAGUCAUGAACUCCUGAAAUAUAAUAUUUAUGAGGAAUAGUAAUUAAACACAGAGAUGUAAAAUAGUGAUAAAUAUUCUAGUGAGACUGAACCCUAGUGAGACGGUACCAGAUCUCACAUUGUAUGAGGGCAGCACCGUAGCAUGCCAUAUCUGCACACUGAAUUCAACUGUGUUUCAUUCUGGAUGUUUUAGACAAAAUGUUGAUGAAAACACUUAAAUUUCUUUAACAUUUUGGGCCUAAUUGCAAAGAAUAAUUACAAAUGUAAUACACAAGUGAAUUAUAAUCUCACCCUUAUGAGCUUUACUUUCUUAACCUAUUUAAAAUUACUAUCAAUUGGACUUGCUAAGACUUUAACCAUAAGAAUGGCAAAACCCCUCAUAAGAAGAAAAACACUAUAAAUUAAAAAAUAGUCAUUAUCCAUAUAAUUGGACAAACUUUAAAUUAAUCCUAGGUUUGACUUGGAAAUAUUAUUAGCAUGUUGAACUUGUACAAGAUGUAGAUGCUUUGCAGACUUAAUAAAAGAUGACGGGUUAAUUAAAUAUUGGAGAUAUGCCAAGGCACAGAUACCUCCUCAUCACAGUGUUCAGCAGGUGCUUGCAUCCCAAGUGUUGCAUCUCAGUUGUAGGUAAGUUCACAAAAUAAUUAGGAUCAUGGUGGAUGGUUGGUUUUUAACUUACUUGAAUAAUUUGGUAUUCAGUGUUUAGGAAAAUUAGCAUGAGAUAAUACUGGCAUAACAUGCAAAUAUUUAUUAAUGAAGCUAACACUCUGAAUAUUCAUUUGUUUAAAGAUUUCACUUAAAAUGAUCAGGAGUAAAUCUGUCUCUCGAGCAGGCAACCCAAAGUCCAUCUUAGAGGCCAUGAUUUCCUAAAUUUCCAAUGACUUAAGAGUUUAUAUGACCUUCACUUGGUUUUGUUGAAGAUUCAAUAGUUUAGUGGUGAUUCCUUUUGAUGGACUGAAUAAUAUGAAUUACAAUCAUGUUCAUACUAAACUUGUAUGAUUCCAGGAAAUCCCAGUAAUAUCCUAGUAAUGAAUGCACUAUUGCCUUGAAUGAAUUGUGAAUUCUGUAAAAUUUCCCCACUGUAUCUUCAGGUUCCUCAUCUACACAUUCAACAGAUAGCAGAUGGAAAAUAGUUGUAAAAAAAUGUGCCUCCAUUGAAAGUGCAUAGAUGUUUUUCUUGUCAUUAUUCUGUAAACAAUGCAGUAUAGGAGGUAUCUGUAACAGUUACAUUAUGUUAACUAUUAUAAGCCAUCUAGACAUGAUCAAAAGUAUACGACACGAUGUGCAAAGGUUAUAUGAAGAUCUGAAAAGCCAUUUUCUAUGUAAGGGACUUGGACAUCUGAGAAUUUGGUGUCUGUGGGAGAUCCCAUGGGUGCUGUAUUUUCCUUCUCAUCUGCUUCUACACCUCCAUCUUUUUCUAGAUUGGAAUCUUCUUGAGGGCAAAUAGCUUUGUGUUUUGGUCUUCCACCAGAAUCUAGAAAAGAGUAAUAAUACAGAAAAUCAUAAGGGACUAUGCCGUGGCUCACUUGGUUAAUCCUCUGCCUGCAGCGCCAGUAUCCCACAUGGGCACCAGUCUAGUCCCGGUCGCUCCUCUUCCAGUCCAGCUCUCUGCUGUGGUCUGGGAAGGCAGUGGAGGAUGGCCCAAGUGCUUGGGUCCCUGCAACCGCAAGGGAGACCGGGAGGAAGCACCUGGCUCCUGGCUUCAGAUCAGCAUAGCUCUGGCCAUAGUGGCCAUUUGGGGAGUGAACCAAUGGAAGGAAGACCUUUCUAUCUGUCUCUCUCCUUCACUGUCUAACUCGGUCAAAUAACAAAAAUUUAAGAAAAAAGUCAUAUAAUACUUAAGAAAAUCUAAUAACAGAUUACAAAAAUUUAUUGCUGAUUAUAUUUGUCAAUAUAUGAUUUUAUUUAUAUUAUUGUGCUUGUAAUUCAUAAUUCAUAACAGAUUAUAUAAAUUACAUUUUAAAUAUGUUCAUUUACUUUUGUAUCUAACUCAAAACCACCUGAAGGGGCUCUAAUUAUGUGUUUAUACCUUACACAAAGUGAACAUUCUAUAUAUUUAUGCAAAUUUUUGGUAAAUUACAUGAAAAAUAUGGAAGCAUGUAAUCUAAAUGCCAGUUAACUUUUUGAUUAGUUUUAUCUUUAUUCUCAAGUCAUCUCAUUUCUAUGAAUCCAAACUAUAUAGGUGAGCCUAAAUUAAUAGAUCAUUUCAACAGAAUCAUAAAACAGGGUCCAAUCACAUAAAAAGUCUUUUAUGUUAGCUGUUUGAUAUCUCUCCAAUAAAGUGAUACAUAUUUUAUAGGGAAAUUGUAACCACUCUUGAUAUUAGAGAGAGAAUUAUAACUCUGCUUGAUCCUGUAUUCUAGGCAAAUGUAUGAGCCCUUGGUCCCUAAAUAGUGAAAUGCCUUCAAGCCAAUUUGAGAGAAAUAAUAACAAUUUGGAAUAAUAUGUGCUCAGUUUCCACUUGUCCACCUCUGAGUAUAUUCUUAAUUUUGUGGUUAAAGGGCUAUUACAGAAGAGAGCAGAAUGAAGUAAUAUUCAGCAGGUGGUAGGCAAUAUGUGCACAUGAUAAUCAUUAGGGAACCACCUGGAUUUGUCUCAUCCCAGCCAAACCCAUCUCUUAUCCGAUAAUACAACAUGAUUCAGACAUUAGGGAAAAAGACAUGGAGUUACUUAUUCCCAAUGCAGUGAUAUACAGUGACUGUUUAGAAUAUUCUAAACUAUAUGGAUGUUUAUUGACUUUUGACAGGAUUAUGUCCUUACAUACUCAUCAUAAAUUGAAAAUACCUUAAGUCGAAAAUGCAUUUGGAACACCUAACCUCCUGGAAUCACAGCUAAGCAAUACAGUACAUAACACUCAAGAAUGUCAUUUGUUUCCUCUCAUGAUCAUGUGGCUGACAUGAAGCUGCAGCCUGCUGCUGCUGCCCAGCAUCAUGAGAAAAUGUCAUAACAUUAAGCCCAAGAAAAGAUCCAAAUUAAAAGUAUAAUUUCUACUGAACGCACAGCACUUGCAUAUUUUUGUAAAGCUGAAAAACUCUAAUCAAACCGUGAUGAGACAAGACAGUCCAUUUAUAGAAAUAUUGUUUAUCUGUGUCUUUGUAAAUCUAUCUAAAUCUAUACAAAAUAAAGGAAGGAACUAAUUUCGGUGUACUGGUACAGAUUUUCUUUGCUUUUCUCUAUUCAAAUUGGUGUUUCACUAAGAAGGAAAUCAUGUACAGUUCUGCAAGCAACAAUAAUUGAUAAACAUUUGUAUUAUGCUUAAUAAUAUUGUGAGCUUUGUAAAGCAGGUUUUAGAUUUUAUCAUUAAUUUGUUUAAUAUUCAGAUUAUUUACCAACAAAUAUUCAGAGUAUUUAAGCUGUGAUCAAAAUAGUUACUGCUCAGUCUGUGAGCUUUAGCUCUCAUUUGGAAAAUAGAAGCAGUCCCAUUUAAUAAGAUUUUUAGAAAUAUACAAAGAACAAAUACAAGGGAAGUCCCUGGAAAAUUGUCUAUCGCUUUGUAAGUACUGAUUUUGUAUUAAAUUAUAGCUAGUCUGCCAAAAUAUGUUUUGAAAUGAAAAAAGAUCAGAUUUAGUUAAAUCUUAAACAAAAUUUAGGAGUUUUAUUCAAACUAUAUUAUUGGUGAUACAAUUUAGGGGUCGAGAAAGGCUGGUAAUUAUCAAAGAUUAGAAUAUUUUAUGUAAAGUGAUAUUACCUUGGAGGACAUGUCUCUUUAUCUUUGUCAAGGCAUUCUUUGCAGCAGGAGAAAGAUGAUGAAAAAGGUGGAGAUUAUAACUUUGCAACUUUUUUGACCUAUUUUUUGGUCUCUUCUAUUUUUAGUAAGCUUUUUUUAAUUCUUCAGAUCCUAGAGAGGCGUUACACACCUUGAGCAUCAUUUCAGAGGUGAUAAUACAGUAUAUAAAUUAGAGGAUCUAUGAGAAAUAGUUGACUAUGAAUGCAUUUUGCAUAACUUGUAUAAGACAUGAGGGGAGAAAAUAUUAUAAAAGAGUAUUUAUGCUAUUUCUAGCUUCCAAAGUGUUAUUAAGCAAAGCAUAAGAAUGCAUUCAUCCUGCAUAAGAGGGGAAGAGUCUUGAGAUGUAAUAAAGGUUUAUGAUUUUGAUUAAAAUCAAUACAUUUUCUAGACCAUUGUGUUAUACUCUUGAAAUGAAGCGGUUAGUUUGGCAGCACACUGUUAAUCUAUAAAAUGUUAGUGUCUUUUUUUUUUUUCUACUUGCCCAGAGUUAGAAGAGUCUUUGUGUUUUCAGUUUGAUCCAGUGCUCCUAUGUGUGGAAUGACACUCAUUACUUUCAUUUGUCAAUCUUUUUGUAGACGAUCCUUGCAUAAUUUUAAGAGCAUCAUCAAACAUUCCAAACGGGUUAUAGUUAUUUUAGUAUUUCAUUGUAAUAAUUUCUGUCCAACCAUAGAGAGGAAAUGUUUCAUUAUUUGGCCUAUCGCUCUAUCUUUUCUGCGUUUGCUCUAAGUAAAACUUUGUUAUGAAAAAUGUCAACACAAAUUCCACAUUGUAGAAUGAUUACGUUAUUGAAGACUGCAGAUCAGAUAAUGUAUCAGUAUUUGUUCCCUACUUCAUCAUUAGAGCUACGCCUCCAAAGGAAAUUGAUAAAUUGCUAGUAAUAGGUGCUUUCUGAGUGUCUGCAACUAUGUUCUUUAUACAGAACAAACUGGAAAACAUCAGUUGGAAGAAACUUACUGGGGAAUUAAGAAUAUUUUAUUAGGGAAAGAAGAAAGUGUUUCUUCUAUUUUAAAAAAAUGUAUUUAGAGAAUACAUAUCAAUUUAGUGUUUAAACCAAUUUUUCUUAGAGUAUACAAAAGCAGGGGAUAUGUUUUAAACAAUGCUCAUCUUUUCUUUAAAGGAAUGUUGUUAAAAUUCCCAUUUACAAAUUAAUUUUAAUCUAUUUUAAUUGACAAGUUAAAGUGAGAUGGUAAUAAAAAGCCUUAAGGGAAUAGGAAAAUUCACUUUAGAAAGAGGCUAUUUUCCCUACCACUCUGUUAAUGUGUCAAGAGAAGGGUCUGAGCAAAUUCAGGGUUGGAAUGAUAUAUGGCAACUUAUUAAUUUCAAUUAUCUUUCAUCAUUUUCAAUAAACACCAUUCAAAUUCUCUUUCUCUUUGGUUAACAUGCCAGUUAUAAGAACAUUGCAUUGUAAUUAAGUGUUCAGAUUCUAGGUGCUUAUUAGACAAACUGUAAACUUGUUUUGGAUUUCAGGGAUGCAAAACCACCCCAUUUCUCUGACACUCUGUUUAUUUCUUGGUACAAGCUCCUUCUACUUUUCUAUGCGUUUUCUAAAACAGACCUUCCUUAGUGCUAAAGUAAGUGUGUAGAAAGUUUAAGACACUAGCAUCCCAGAUGAGAUUAUUCCCAGUUAGGGAUAAUGAGAAUCAAAGAGAUUCCAGAAGGAUACUCGGCCAUAGGAAAGAGAACAAUAAAUAAAAAACUAAAACAAAAAUGCACAAUAUUUCAACACUGUAGAAGUUUUCAAAUCCAAUUUUAUUGCUCUGAAUGUGCGUGUGAACCAGACAUAAUGGCCAUUAUUUUUAGAAGGUGUCCAGGAUUAGAUAUAAUGAUGCCUUUAUGUGCUUCAAAAUGGAUUUAUUCCCCAAGCAAUCAUGCUGAAUGCAAAAGCACACUAUAAUGUGAAAUAUUUACCUCUUCUAUUGAGUUUCCCAAGUGUGUGUUCAUAGUCCCCAAAGUAAGAUUAAAAACAACUUUAUGAAAACAUUUCUGUGUCCUACACUACUCUAGUUUCUCUUAGGUAUAACACUAAAUUUCCCCAGAGCCUCUCACAUUUUCAGGUCUUAAUUCAGGAGUAUAUAUACUAAUUAAGAAAAAUGCAUUUAUUUUAAGAAGGGCAUUUUGUAUUAUGUCACAUGAGGAUAAUACCUUGGUCAUAUUAGAUACCUACUUAGACUUUUAUUAAAAGUCAUGCUUGUAAUUGUGUCAUAUACAGUAUUGGUACCAACUGCUUAAAUUUGGACAUAGAUAAAGCUUGAGAGACUAG